ACUUUUAAAGGAUAGAAGUAACCCGUUGGUCUUAGGAACCAGAAAAUUUGGUGCAACUCCAAAUAAAAGUA
rnacentral:tRNA from 1 species